rnacentral:rRNA from 1 species
UACGUAGGGAGCAAGCGUUGUUCGGAUUUACUGGGCGUAAAGGGCGCGUAGGCGGCUUCGCAAGUGGAAGGUGAAAUCCCUCGGCUUAACCGAGGAACUGCCCUCCAACUGCGUUGCUUGAGGCCGGGAGAGGUGAGUGGAAUUCCCAGUGUAGCGGUGAAAUGCGUAGAUAUUGGGAGGAACACCAGUGGCGAAGGCGGCUCACUGGACCGGUUCUGACGCUGAUGCGCGAAAGCGUGGGGAGCAAACGGG